CAAUAGCGUAUAUUAAAGUUGUUGCGGUUAAAGCUCGUAGUUGGAUUUCUGCCGAGGACGACCGGUCCGCCCUCUGGGUGAGUAUCUGGCUUGGCCUGGGCAUCUUCUUGGAGAACGUAGCUGCACUUGACUGUGUGGUGCGGUAUCCAGGACUUUACUUGAGGAAAUUAGAGUGUUUCAAGCAGGCAUGCGCCUUGAAUACAUUAGCAUGGAAUAAUAAGAUAGGACCUCGGUUCUAUUUUGUUGGUUUCUAGAGCUGAGGUAAUGAUUAAUAGGGAUAGUUGGGGCGAUUCGGUAUUUUAACUGUCAGAGGUGAAAUUCUUGGAUUUGUUAAAAU
rnacentral:rRNA from 1 species